GUCCGCACUGUAAACGAUGAUUACUCGCUGCUUGGGGGCAACCCUGAGUGGCUUAGCGAAAGCGAUAAGUAAUCCACCUGGGGAGUACGCCGGCAACGGUGAAACUCAAAGGAAUUGACGGGGGCCCGCACAAGCGGAGGAGCAUGUGGUUUAAUUCGAUGAUACGCGAGGAACCUUACCAGGGCUUGAAAGUUAGGGAAUGAUUCUGAAAGGAGUCAGUCAGCAAUGACCCGAAACUAGGUGCUGCAUGGCUGUCGU
rnacentral:rRNA from 1 species